CUUUGUUUUUGGUGUUUUAGAGUCGGUGAAGGCUUUAAAGGAAGUAGGCAGCUGGAACCCGGCUGUGGCGGGUUGAAAAGCCCGGGCGUUUGAGAGCUGAGACUUGCCAGUUCCCACAGGCCAAGCCAGGCGUCUGCACCCCAUUCUCUUGGCUCCGACGAUGGAGUCUUGCUCUGUCACCCAGACUGGAGUACAGUGGUGUGAUCUCCGCUCACUGCAACCUCCACUUCCCAGGUUCAAGCGAUUCUCCUGCCCCAGCUUCCCGAGCAGCUGGGACUACAGAAUAUGCUCUCCAUGAGGGUGCUCUUCAGGGCCUACCACAAUGGCUGGCACUAGAGAAGGGCACAAAAUUGAAGAACAGUGAAGACAAAAGCAAUAAGAUGAUUAAGGCCAUGUGAGACAGCAACAAUAUCAGUUGAAUGUCACCCUUUAUCGAGUUCAUCUCACUCUGUUGCCCAGGCUGGAGUUCAGUGGCGCCAUCUCGACUUACUGCAGCCUUGACCUCCUGGGUUCAAGUGAUCCUUCCACUUCAGCCUCCCAAGUAGCUGGGACCACAGGCAUGUACCACCACGCCCAGCUAAUUUUUGUAUUUUUUGUAGAGACGGGCUUUCACCAUGUUGCGCAGGCUGGUCCUGAGCUCCUGGUCUCAAGCAAUCCUCCUGCCUCAGCCUCCCGAAGUGCUGGGAUUACAGACGUGAGCCAUCAGGCCCAGCCUAUAAUGGAAUUCUUAUUAUCAGAUUAGCCUUUCUGCCUUAAACAACCAUGAAACUGCCCAAAAGCUAUGAGCAACCAUUUUCAAACAAUAGACAACAGGCAGUGCAUGACAGUAAUCCCCAAGAUCACUGAUGAGAUGUUUCCCACAAUUUCUCUGUCUCUCUGCUGGCGACAGCUUUCCAAUUGCAGCAUAGCAAGCUGGAAUUCUGGCAGAGUAGGGAUGCCCUGCUGUGUUGAGAAGAGAUCAGAGUGAAGGGCUGCCGAAACCGCUGCAGUCCAUAAGUCGUGGCCCUGGAGAGAAUGGAGCUGCUUAUGUGGGAGGCAGAGAUCCACACCACGGCUUUCUCAUGAGUUCUUAGCUGAAAACUGGGCUGUACAUGUGUAGGGAAGACUACCUGAGGGUUACCAGAGAGAGGCUGCUACCCAGUUGAGAGCAAAGCAGAUAAUAGAGGUCAGGCAGAUAACAGAAUCCAGAGCCUCUACAAUGUAUCAUCCAGUGUCCUUGACACAAUCUACAAUUCCUGAACAUACAAGGAAACAGAAAAAUAUGACCCAUAGCAAAAACAACAAUCAAUAGAAGCUGACCACAAGGUGGUCCAGAUGCUGGACUUAGCAAAGACUUUAAGGAAAUUAUUAUAUGUUCAAAAUUCUAAAGGAAAAUGUGUUUAAAGAAUUAAAGGAAAAUAUGUUUAAAUAAUUAGGCCAGGUGCGGUGGCUCAAGCCGCUAAUCCCAGCACUUUGGGAGGCUGAGGUGGGUGGAUCACCUGAGGUCAGGAGUUUGAGAACAGCCUGGCCAACAUGGUGAAACCUCCUCUCUACUAAAAAUACAAAAAUUAGCCGGGCAUGGUGGCGCAUACCUGUAAUCCCAGCUACUGAGGCUGAGGCAGGAGAAUCUCUUCAACCUGGGAGGUGGAGGUUGCAGUGAGCCGGUAUUGCACCACUGCACUCCAGCACAGGUGACACGACAAGACUCUUUCUC